GAUGAACGCUAGCGGCAGGCCUAACACAUGCAAGUCGAGGGAAAAGCCCUUUCGGGGGCGGAAUCCGCCGCACUGGUGCGUAACGCGUAUGCAACCUACCUUUCACAGUGGGAUAGCCCUAAGAAAUUUGGAUUAAUACCCCAUAAUAUUAUUGGAUGGCAUCAUUUGAUAAUUAAAACUGCGGUGGUGAAAGAUGGGCAUGCGUCCUAUUAGCUAGUUGGAGUGGUAACGGCACCCCAAGGCUACGAUAGGUAGGGGUCCUGAGAGGGAGAUCCCCCACACUGGUACUGAGACAGGGCCCAGACUCCUACGGGAGGCAGCAGUGAGGAAUAUUGGUGAAUGGUCGGAAGACUGAAACAGCCAUGCCGCGUGCAGGAAGAAUGCCUUAUGGGUUGUAAACUGCUUUUAUAUGGGAAGAAUAAGGCGUACGUGUACGUUGAUGACGGUACCAUAUGAAUAAGCAUCGGCUAACUCCGUG
rnacentral:rRNA from 1 species